GACGAACGCUGGCGGCGUGCCUAAUACAUGCAAGUCGAGCGGACUUAAAAAGCUUGCUUUUCAAGUUAGCGGCGGACGGGUGAGUAACACGUGGGCAACCUGCCUGUAAGACUGGGAUAACUUCGGGAGACCGGAGCUAAUACCGGAUAAUCCUUUCCUACUCAUGCAGGAAAGCUGAAAGACGGCUUACGCUGUCACUUACAGAUGGGCCCGCGGCGCAUUAGCUAGUUGGUGAGGUAACGGCUCACCAAGGCGACGAUGCGUAGCCGACCUGAGAGGGUGAUCGGCCACACUGGGACUGAGACACGGCCCAGACUCCUACGGGAGGCAGCAGUAGGGAAUCUUCCGCAAUGGACGAAAGUCUGACGGAGCAACGCCGCGUGAGUGAUGAAGGUUUUCGGAUCGUAAAACUCUGUUGUUAGGGAAGAACAAGUACGAGAGUAACUGCUCGUACCUUGACGGUACCUAACCAGAAAGCCACGGCUAACUACGUGCCAGCCGCCGCCGUAA
rnacentral:rRNA from 1 species